GAAUCGCAUGGCCUUGUGCCGGCGAUGGUUCAUUCAAAUUUCUUCCCUAUCAACUUUCGAUGUUUGGGUAUUGGCCAAACAUGGUUGCAACGGGUAACGGAGGGUUAGGGCUCGACCCCGGAGAAGGAGCCUGAGAAACGGCUACUACAUCCAAGGAAGGCAGCAGGCGCGCAAAUUACCCAAUCCCGACACGGGGAGGUAGUGACAAUAAAUACUGAUACAGGGCUCUUUUGGGUCUUGUAAUUGGAAUGAGUACAAUUUAAAUCCCUUAACGAGGAACAAUUGGAGGGCAAGUCUGGUGCCAGCAGCCGCGGUAAUUCCAGCUCCAAUAGCGUAUAUUAAAGUUGUUGUGGUUAAAAAGCUCGUAGUUGAACCUUGGGCCUGGCCGUCCGGUCCGCCUCACCGCGUGUACUGGCUCGGCCGGGCCUUUCCCUCUGUGGAACCCCAUGCCCUUCACUGGGCGUGGCGGGGAAACAGGACUUUUACUGUGAAAAGAUUAGAGUGCUCCAGGCAGGCCUAUGCUCGAAUACAUUAGCAUGGAAUAAUAGAAUAGGACGUGUGGUUCUAUUUUGUUGGUUUCUAGGACCGCCGUAAUGAUUAAUAGGGACAGUCGGGGGCAUCAGUAUUCAAUUGUCAGAGGUGAAAUUCUUGGAUUUAUUGAAGACUAACUACUGCGAAAGCAUUUGCCAAGGAUGUUUUUCAUUAAUCAGGAACGAAAGUUAGGGGAUCGAAGACGAUCAGAUACCGUCGUAGUCUUAACCAUAAACUAUGCCGACUAGGGAUCGGACGGUGUUAUUUUUUGACCCGUUCGGC
rnacentral:rRNA from 1 species